rnacentral:rRNA from 1 species
AAUAAAUACAAAUAAAUUUUAUUAUUUAAAGUUAAAAUUUAUUUAUUAAUAUAUAGUUAAAUUUUUUAGGUUAAAUUUUAAAUUUAUAAAAUUAUUAAAAAUUAGAUUAUUUUAAGCUUAGAAAUUUUAUUAAUAAACUAGGAUUAGAUACCCUAUUAUAAAAAAUGUAAAUUUAAAAAAAUAGAGUAGUAAUAGUUAUAUUCUUAAAACUUAAUAAAUUUGGCGGUAUUUUAAUCUAUUCAGAGGAACUUGUUUUAUAAUUGAUAAUCCUCGUUAUAUCUUACUUAAUUUAAUUAAUUUGUAUACCAUCGUCAUAAGAAUCUCUUAAAAAAGAAAAAAUUUUCUUAAUAAUUUAUUAAUUAAUAUGUCAGAUCAAGGUGCAGUUUAUAGUUAAGAAAAAAUGAGUUACAAUAAAUUUAUUUAUACGGAUUUUUAGUUGAAAUACUAAAUUAAAGGUGGAUUUGAUAGUAAAAUAAGUUAUUAACCUUAUUUGAUUUUAGUUCUAAAAUAUGCACAUAUCGCCCGUCGCUCUCGUUAUUUAAAAUGAG